ACAUCAUAUUUUGAUAGCAGCCUCCUAUCUGGUCUUCGAGAUAGAGGAAGAUUUGGGGCAUAUUUUGAAAGUAGAGCUGACAGUACUCUGAUGGAUUGGAAAUGAAUAUGAGAGAAAGUGAGGAAGAUGCCAAGGAUGCAGUCAACAGUGACUUCAAGGUUUUAUGGUAAUCAUGGUGCUAUUUAUGGAGAUGAAGAAGGACAAGUUUGGAGAGAAAAUUCAAGAGUUUGUUUUUGAAUAUGCCUAUUAAAUGUCAAUCAGGCAGUAGGGUAUAGGAUUCUGGAGUUUUAGGGAAGAGGUGUGGGCUGUAGAUAUAAAUUUGAGAGCCAUCUGCAUACAAAAAGACAUUUAAAUAUGAGAGACUUGAUUUGAUUAACAAGGGAGAGGUGUAGGGAGGGAGAUACUGAGCACAGCACUGUUUAGACUAUGGAAGAUAGAUGAGUAGGCUCCAUUUCAGUGUAUACAGGAAUCCCUGGAGACACUUGCUAACAAUGUAGAUUCCAGGGUCCUAGUCCCAUAAAUUCCGAUUCAGGUCUAAUAUUGAGGCCUGGCAAUCUGCAUUGUCAACAAUGCAGCUUAUCCUGAAGUGGUUAAUCUGGGAAUAUCCUUUGAAAAACACUGAAAUAAACUACCAACAUCUAUGAAAACAUUUACGGGUGCUUAAAUUUCAGGAUGUUUCUUUUCUUUCUCCCCAUUUCCUCUCAUCCAUUAUGCAUGAAAGACUUCUGCAAGAUGCCAAGAGGGGAACUUGGGCUUUUUCUUUUUUCCAAUUGCCUUUUACAGAGUGAUGGAAAGUUAACUACGAACUCCUGCGGGGAAAAGAAGAGACGAUCUAGGCCUAAAAAUCGUGUCUACUCUCCAAGAGAGGUAUAUUCUCCUUUAAACACCCAAUUUGAUGCCCAGUGGUAACACUUUAUGAAGCAAGACCAAGAGCAAAGUCAACAUUUCUUUGUUCCUUAAUUAUAAGCAGCAUGUGCACCUUGCAUAUCUCAGCAAGUGAUAAACAGUCAUACUCCCCCAAAUACUGAAUGGAGGGUUGAGAAGAUUAGAUGAAAAACAAAUGCUUAACAGCCUGCUGUAGAUUUUGCUUUCCUAUCUCUCAAAAUUAAUGCUGAUUAAGCCUCUGUAAAGGGAAAAUGCCCCUCCCUGUUUAUACCAUCAUUUAUACAAGACUGAAUUCUUAUUGACAGUGAACCUGUAUUUCUAAAAUAUAUAAAUAUGAAAAUAUGUUCACUCCUAUCUAGUCUGAGAUUGUGAAUCAAAUGUUGUGUUGGUGGUAAAAUUCUACAGACAUAGUCUCCUCUUUUGCAGUUCAGUGGUUGCAAGAGGGCCUGAAGCUGCAGUAGCCAUGUGCUGUAAUAAUGAUUGCAUUGAUUAAGUGCCAAUUACUUCUGGAGACUUUUCAAAGGCCUCUGCUGCAGAGUUGAAACUAGGCUUUCUGUCUGAUAUUAGAUACAUCUCUAAUGCUAGGUGAUGGCUGGUUUGGGAUCUCUGGCAAUUACUUCUGUCAUGUACUUUAAUCAACAGCGUGCCUACUAUUAUAACAAGUCCCCACACCCACUGUGAAGCAUUACUCAGACUCUCUUUCCCUUAACCCCCACCCUGCUCACAUGAACCUGAGCUUCUGAUCCAUAGAUGAUUAAGUUGCUCUGGUGAAUCACCCUCAGUGGGAUGGGGCAGGCUUCCAACCAGAGCCAGAUCUUUACCACAACCAAGUGCUUGUCUGGAGGGAUGAUGAAUCCUACGGGCCCAGCCAGAGGUCAAAUUACCUGUCUAGCUAUUCUGCUGGGUAUCAGUCUUCUGGUAGGCAUCCUAUUUAGCACAUGCUUCCAUUAGCAAAUAUUUAGGAAGGACCUAUGCUUGCAUAUAGUUCCCCGAAAAAUUAUUUGCAACUAAGUUUUGGAUCUAAUCACCAUCAUUGGCUGAUUUUGCCACCAUCUUUGAAAUAGUUGGCAGACUGUGAUAGAACAUUGAUGGACUGAAAGUUGAGCUAAAAGAGUGACUAAGUCACCAACUUGCUGUGUGACCUUGGGCAUUUAUUUCAAAACAAGGGGAUUGUGCAAUACAUUUUCUGAGAUCCCGUCCAACUCUAGCACUCGGUGGAUUAAUUUCAUUUUUGCAGUGAGCUUCUUAUUCAUUUGCCAGAGGCAAUUGAACUAAUUCACUAGGGCUGCCAUUCAAAGUUCUUCAAACUGGGUGACUUAAGCAACAGAAAUUUAUCUUCUCACAGUUCUGGAGGCUGGGAACCCAAGAUCGAGGUAUUAGCAGAGUUGGUUCUUUCUGAGGGAAGUGAGGAAGGAAUCCAUUCCAGGCUGCUCUCCUUGGCCUGUAGAGGGCCAUCUUCAUCUUCAUAUGGUGUUCUUCCUUUGUGAGCAUCUGUCUCCAAAUUUCCCCUCUUUAUAAGGAUAGCAGGCAUAUUGGAGUAGAGAUGCCCUAAUGACCUCAUUUUAACUUGAUUACCUCUAUAAAGACCCUAUCUCCAAAUAAGGUCACAUUCUGAGGGACUGAGGGUUAGCACUUCAACAUAUGAAUACUUGGGGGACACAAUUCAACCCAUAACAAAAAGUAAGUAUUAAAUAUAGGUAAGGAAUAAAGAAUAAUGCCUUGGUAGCCUUUAAGGCUGGUAACUGACAGGGACAUGGUCAGCCAGCAAGUAAGCAUAGAUUGUCAAAUUUAUGUUGUAACUCUAAUGGCUUAAAGCUACAUUAACACUAAUUUUAUCUCCACAUAUGGAUAUUGUGUAAGAGUCAGCUCUGAAUUCUCUUCUACCUGAAAUUUUUCAGCGUCGCCCUGCUUUCCAGUGUUAUUUCAUCUGUUUUUAUAAUUGGAUGUGAAACUUCUUGAGAAAGGGUCCUAUGACUCUUUAACCAAUUAUUGUUCAAAGGAGUCCCCAAAGUGUUAAGCAGCUACACAUCUGGCAUUAAUGGAAAUAAAUGAAAGAUUUCAAUCAAUUCAAACAAGGACACUUUGGGAUGGAAUCGGGUAUCGUCAGUAAAGAAACGGACGAUAAUCCAGAAACGAUAAUCCAGAAACUGACUGGUAAGUCUCAUUUAUCAGCAAAUGUACACCCUUCUGAUCACUGAUCUCUUUUCCAGAGUCUCUCUAGCCUGGAAAUCCACUAGGUGGAGCAAAGGAUCAGGAAUUAGCUGCCCAAGAGCUCUCACAAGCAAAUAUCAACCAGUACUGCAACUAUACCUUUUCCUCUAUAAAACCUAGACAAAGGCUGGGGGAAAAUUGAGUUUCUGAAGCUGCUUGAGAUCAAAUGUUCCCUGUUCAUUAAAAUGGACAGUAGCUCAAGGAAUAAAGAAACUCAGAUUUGCUGAGCUGGACAUGAUUACUAAAUACACAGGAGGCACACCCAUCUUGGACUAUUUCCCCAUGGCUUGGCUCUCAUUACAUAUUUCCUUUCUGCUUUCAUUGGUGGCAGAUGGAAUUUGGGAUAGACUUCUUAUCCAAGCUCCUGUAUUCGAAAUAUCCUGUGCUUAGAUCAUACAUCUUUUUCCCGCCUACUCUAGGCAUCCCAAAGUUCUGGUAUCAACCUGGUUUCUAUUUAAAUAUAUUCUCUUUGAUUCCUGGCCCUUGGAUUCUAACAUUUCCUUCCUUGGAUUCCAAUCUUGUCUUUUUUUCUGCACUUAUGUGUCGGUUAGCUGAGCAGAAGCCAGGUUCUUAUUUGAGGAUUUUUAAGGUGUAAAAGGAGACUGUCCUUGUUUCCCUAUCAGUUCUUUGUCCCUUGUGCAAAGUGUACUCUGUCUGCCUUUGCAUUCAAACUGCAGUUGUUAACUGUCCUAUAUCUCAGUCAAAAUCUGCUACCAAUAGAAGGCAUGGUUCAUUACAAUCAUCAUUCCAUAACACGCAAGUCCAAACACUUGCAGAGGGAAACUUGAGGUAGGAGGUAAAUUCCAAAUCCAAAGUUAUUGUUUUUCAUGGCUAUGACUCUGUGGCAGGAUAAUCUAUUGAAAUAUUAAUUUCUUUGUCCACUUUCCGUACUUUCUCUACCCCUUUGAUCUAAGUGAGUUAGGUAGGCCCUUAGUAAUUUCUUACCUUAGAGAUAUUUUGCAGAAUGAUCUAGCUGUCUGUAGAUAAAACCUGAACUCAAUGAAGAUAGUAUUAUCAAUGUCUUUGAAGGCAGCAGGAAAAGGAAAGGAGAAAAUUUCCCAAGAAUAUAAGGAAGUUUUCAGUCUAUGGGUGAGGGUGAGUAGGACUACACAUGGCCGCAGGAGAGUACUGGACUGCAAUGGACAUGUCAGUGGUAACCAGUAUGUAUUGACAACUGGCAGGAUCUCUGCCAGGCUUUGGUGCCAUGUAAGAUUCCAGGACCUUGCAAAACCCUUGCAGUGGAGAGUCCAAAUAAUGACUGAGAUUACAAUUUCUGCCAAUCAAGCUGGAUGGGGACUCAGAGUCAGAGUUAAGUAGGUGAAAAGCAAAUGAAGAAGUGAGAUAUUUCUUGUACAUCUGAGUUUAUCUGAGUUUCCUAUUGACUGCACUCAAUUAAGAGUUCAUCAUGGAGGUCUGUGACCUCAGAGCAGUAUAGAAUGGUGGGUAAAGUAUGGUCUCUGGAAACAGGCUGCCUGGGUUCAAAUCUGAGCUCUGCUACUGAUUAGGUAUGAAUCCUUGUACAAGUUAUUCAGCCUCUCUCUACCACAGGUUUCCCCCUGUGAAGUGGGGAUGAUAAUAGUACGUAUCUUACAAGGUUGUGGUUGAAAAAUCAGUACCUGACAUAUAGCAAAAUUGAAUGUAAACUGUUAUUUCUAUAGGGUUUUUUGCAUCACUAUAACGGUUGUUGAAAUUUAAAUUAAUUUUUAAAAUACACAAUACACACAAAUGGUACAAAAGGUUUUGAAAGAGAUACAAUGAAAGAUAAAGGUGUACAACAAAAAAUUGUUCCCUAAUUUUCCUCCCCAGAUGCAACCUGUGUCACUAAUUGUAUAUUAAACAAAUGAAACUCCUUACAUAUGUUUCUGUACCUUCCCCCUCUUAACAAUACAUUGUGAAAAUUGUUCUUUGAUAGUAUUCCAUUAUAUCGAUAUAUUCUAGAUUAUUAACUUAUCGAACUAGUCUUCCUCAUGGACUGGUUUUUUACUCUUACAAAUAAUACUGCAAUAAAAUCUUUGUACCUACAUCUUUGAGCAUGUCUGGAAUAUCUGUGGGAUAAGUUCCUAAAAGUAGAAUUACUGAAUUCAAGGCUCUGUACAUUAUAAAAUCUGAUAGAUACUGUCAAAUUGCCCUCCAUACAGCAAAUUAUACUCCCGAGGCCAAGGCGGGCGGAUCAUGAGGUCAGGAGUUUAAGACAAGCCUGGCCAACAUGGUGAAACCCCAUCUCUACUGAAAAUACAAAAAUUAGUCGGGUGUG
rnacentral:lncRNA from 1 species